ACUGAGCGGCGGACGGGUGAGUAACGCGUGGGUAACCUGCCUCAUACAGGGGGAUAACAGUUGGAAACGGCUGCUAAUACCGCAUAAGCGCACAGUACCGCAUGGUACGGUGUGAAAAACUCCGGUGGUAUGGGAUGGACCCGCGUCUGAUUAGGUAGUUGGUGGGGUAACGGCCUACCAAGCCGACGAUCAGUAGCCGACCUGAGAGGGUGACCGGCCACAUUGGGACUGAGACACGGCCCAA
rnacentral:rRNA from 1 species